UGCCAUUUGGAUUGGUUUGUUUGAAAAGAAAAAAAAGAGAGAAAAGAUAUAUUUAUUUAAUUAAAUUAUUCCAUUUUUGCACUGUUACAUCGUUCGCGUUAAAUGUUGGAAAUGACGAAAACUACUCCUACUAAAAAGUGAAUGUAAGGAUAAGAAUGAAAGAGUUCCAAGACAUUGCGGAGCGACUGACUACUACGAAACAAUCUACAAAAGAAUCUUCUUCUUUCAAAAACUUCAGCUUCAAUUGGCCCCGAUCCAGGAAAUAUUUAUAUCAGUAAAAGAAAGAAGGACCGGUUAUAUCCUUAUUUGGAAACUCAUUCCAUAUUAAGUUAUGAAGUGGGCAGAAACUCUAUCAGACAACCAUAAUCUUUUCUCCAGUUUGUAUCCGGAGGAUUUAUUAGUGCGGCCAUAAUUAUGGUAAAUAAGAUGUCAGCCCUGUCAUACUAAUGGAGAGGACCAACAAAAGCAUUUAAAACACUUUCAUAUCCGUUUUUGCAACAAUUUCAAAAAUGGUUACGAUUUGGCCCUCUUCUGUCUCCAGAAUAUUCCUACUCAGGGUAUAUGAUUUAGUCAAUAUUCGCAACAUAGCCGAUUAUAAUGAAAUUCGCCCCACAACGAGAUUAAUAAAAGCUGCCAUCAGUUGAGUGGAGGGUGGUGUUUACGAAUUAUUUCGUUUAUUGAAAGGAUCCAUUAGGAUGCACAGAAACCAGGAACGAAGCAGUUUUAAGUCCAAGCAGCGCUGAAAUCGAAAAGCGUAAAGAUACUGAGGAAUUUAGGUAAAUAUUUAUUUCGACGAUGAUUUCAGAAGAUGAUAUACCCAAUCCCAAUGAAUAAUCAGCAAUCAAUGUCGCUUCAAAAAUUAUGAAUUGACCACGUCC